rnacentral:tRNA from 1 species
GCCCCGAUAGCUCAGUUGGCUAGAGCGAUAGCCUUGUAAGCUGUAGGUCGCGGGUUCAAAUCCCGCCCGGGGCU